UCUCCUUGGACCAGAGUUGGGUUAAGAUGCUCCUUUUUAAAUGAGGUCAUCUUAUAAUAUUCCUUGUUGCCUAUGUUUUUUCCUCUUGCUCUGUUUUCAAGUGCAUUCUUGCACUUCAAGAAGAUGGAGAUGUAUUCUGGAUGAAGGAUGUCUGUGAGGCAGAGCUGCUGAUGUUCUCCAUUAGGUCAGGCAAUGUGUGGGGUUUGCCAGUCUCUGCAAGCAGAAAACACAGCCACUGCCCCUGGGAGGAUGAAGAAUACAGCUGCCACUGGAAAAAUACCUUGUCUUCUCGCAGGAUGCAGCCUUCAGUUCUGGCUACCCAUCAAAAUAUAUCCAUGAAACAGAGAAUGCCUUAAAAACAGUGAACACAAGGAGGCCCAGCAGUGGUGCCCCUGCCUCAGUCCCUGCCCAGCCAGAGCUGCCAGGGAGUUUCAGAAGCCAAGUGAAACGGCCAGCAUGGCCUGAGAGUGCAACGGGAACACGGCAAAAAUCAUCUUUGUAGCCACCAUGAUGUUCAGUGGCUGCUGCACCAGAGAGACCACUGAGAGGAGCAAGGUGGAGUGAGAAUUGUGCAUGUCUGUUAAAAAAGGCUUGCUAAUAACAGCGCCUCCUCCCAGACAGUCACAAAUUGACAGCCGGUGGAAUUUACAAAUAUGCUAGGUCUGGUCAAGUUCAAGAAGAGAUUGAACAGUCCAGAUAAUGGAAUGGUCCAGUUUAUUCUAGCAAUAACUAAGAAGGGUUGGGAUUGCUGAGUGCACUAACGUGAAGGUAUUAAAAUAUAUUUAGUAAAAGCAGCGACUAGAGUGUCCCAAUGUCUAUAGGAAAUUCACUGACUAGAGGUCCUAAUCUGUAUAGUAAAUGCACUAGUUGCAGGGUACUAGUAAGUAUAGAAAAGGGCACUAAUGACCAGGCAUUAGUAUAUAGUUAAAUGCGCUAAAUACGGGACAUUAAUAUAUACAGGGUGUGUCAAGCGGCCCCCCAAAUGCAGCUCUGCAUGUGGGGAUCUCUUUCAACUGCUGUGGAUCAGCAGCUGUUUGAGUCGAUGUAGCAGACAAACGUACUCUUGCAUGGCCUUCCUGUGGGCAUCCGGAUUGCUCACCAGGUGCUGGAAGAGGUUGGGCAGUUUGGCCAGCCGGAAG